CUAAGCACGCUGAUUGGCGGCGAACGGCUCAGUAACACGUAGUCAAUCCUGCCCUCGAGACGAGAACAUCUCGGGAAACUGAGGCUAAUGCUCGAUAGAUCAAGAUUCCUGGAAUGGGUUUUGGUCCAAAGGGAGUGACAGCAUCUUGUCACUUUGCCCGAGGAUGGGACUGCGGCCGAUCAGGCUGUUGGUGGGGUAAAGGCCCACCAAACCAGUAACCGGUACGGGCUUUGAGAGAAGGAGCCCGGAGAUGGACACUGAGACAAGGGUCCAGGUCCUACGGGGCGCAGCAGGCGCGAAACCUUCUCAAUGUGCGAAAGCACGACGAGGUUAUUCCGGAGUGGUCCCCGCUGAGGGGAUCUUUUGUCGGCUGUAAAAAGGCCGGUGAAUAGGGGGAGGGGCAGUCUGGUGUCAGCCGCCGCGGUAA
rnacentral:rRNA from 1 species